rnacentral:sRNA from 1 species
UACCAUCGCAUCGCCCGCUACCAGAGCAG